CGGUAUUAAGACCAUCUGUGAGGGAGAAGUACGCGGGGCUUUCGUGGCUCGUCUGGUCGAGUUGUCCAAUGAAAAAAAAAAGGCAUCAGGAAAAGAUAUAGAGAGCUCUGACCAAGACGGUUAUUUCCGUUGGAUUUAGGGACCACUCUGAUUUUCAUUAACAAUUGACCAGAAAGACCAGUUUUUCUGGAUAGCUUAUUUUGGUGUUUUUGGUUUUUGGAGAUCUUUAAUAAGAUAUUACACAGCUGGACAUUGCAUAACAGGGUGGGGAGAACAGAAGGAUUUUGUUGGAUCUGAAGACUGUAGUGGAGGAGGUACAGCUAGAGGUGAAGAGAGAGGAGUCGAAGAGGAGCGAGCUACAGCUGCAGUACACUAAGGACAGAUGUGCCUGGGAACUGGAGAGAGCUGAGCUGAAAUGCAGAAUCGCACAGAUGUACAAGGAGGUGAAGGUGAGGCAUGAGGUAUCUGGGGAGAUGAGAGAACCUGUAGGAGAGAUUACAGAGGAGGUCACCCUGAAUGUCAGUGUACAUACCACCAGCACAGGAUCCAGCAUGCUUAGCGACAACUCGACUUCCGACCCCCAGAACAGCAGCAGCAGCCAAUCAGAGCCCACCAACCAACGCGGCUCCUACCCCCGUCGUCACCGCAACGACGACUUCGCCGCCCACAGAAACCGGGCGGAUCACCGUGGCGACAGAGGAAACCCCCGUAACUAUGACGACUGUGUCGGUAACCAGGAAGUGGACAUGGCGGAACUGGAGGCCAUCCUGCGAGGGGUUGACAGAGACUCUCCCUCUAAAGGGGGUAUGGUUAAUGUCCGUCGCUCCUCCCACGGUGGAUCUAGUGUAGGAGUGACCCACAACACAGAGAUGAGCUCCGGGACAUGGAGUGACAAGAUGGAGAAUACUACAGCCCUCAAUGUCGCCCUGAAGGAGAUAGCCCGUGUGAGUGAAGAGCUGUGUAGCUACCAGGAUGAGAUCAGCAGGAAGUCCGGAGGGGACAAGAGGGGUCGAACCGAGUCCUCGUAUUUCCCGAGGUGGAUCAUGUUACGACCAGAGAGAGAAUGGAGGACCCUGCCUUCAACCUGACGCAGCUGGUAGCUGACCUCAGGGCCCUGGAAGAGGAGAACUGGCUGUCCAUCAGGAAGGACCCUGCCAGGGGCCCCAGUCACCUCAAGGACCCCGACAGGGGCCCCAGUCACCUCAAGGACCCCGACAGGGGCCCCAGUCACCUCA
ensembl:lncRNA